rnacentral:rRNA from 1 species
UAGGGAAUCUUCCGCAAUGGACGCAAGUCUGACGGAGCAACGCCGCGUGAGUGAAGAAGGAUUUCGGUUCGUAAAACUCUGUUGUUAGAGAAGAACAGCGCAUAGAGUAACUGUUAUGCGUGUGACGGUAUCUAACCAGAAAGCCACGGCUAACUACGUGCCAGCAGCCGCGGUAAUACGUAGGUGGCAAGCGUUGUCCGGAUUUAUUGGGCGUAAAGCGAGCGCAGGCGGUCAAUUAAGUCUGAUGUGAAAGCCCCCGGCUCAACCGGGGAGGGUCAUUGGAAACUGGUUGACGUGAGUGCAGAAGAGGAGAGUGGAAUUCCAUGUGUAGCAGUGAAAUGCGUAGAUAUAUGGAGGAACACCAGUGGCGAAGGCGACUCUCUGGUCUGUAACUGACGCUGAGGCUCGAAAGCGUGGGUAGCAAACAGG